rnacentral:lncRNA from 1 species
UGGAUGUGCUUUUAUAAUGUUAGAAAAGAAGGUUAACAUUGAAAUGACCGUUGGAGGAUAAAAAGGAAACGAAUUUGAUAUUUGAAGGGCAAAUAAGAAAAGUAUUUGCUAUAUGAAGGGUAUAUAAGAAAAGUUAGUUACGGUAUAAGGGUAUAUUGGAAUGGACAAAAUGGUAAUUUUCCAGAGAUAACGGCAACUGUUAACAGCUCACUAACGGAAUUUAACUCCAGGGGUAUAUUAGAAAGAACUUGGAACAUAAGAAGGGUAUUUUCAAUACUAACCUUCUAAGAGGGAUAAAUAAGAAAACCAGAAACUUUUCAGGGCUAUAUGGGCAAUAUUGCCCCUAAAAUAUAAGUCGCUAAGUCAUUAGAACAAUAAAAAAACAUUGCAUAAAUGAUAAGGUCUUUAAGCAACUUACUACAUAAGAACAUCAAACAUUCAGUAGAAGUUAAGUAGGGAUAAAAUUGGCAGAUGCAAAGCCACUUAAUAAUAUAUUGUAAAAUAUACUGGCAUUGCCCGUACAUAUCACAAA